rnacentral:rRNA from 1 species
UCGAGGAUCUUCGGCAAUGGGCGCAAGCCUGACCGAGCGACGCCGCGUGAGCGAUGAAGGCCUUCGGGUUGUAAAGCUCUUUAGUGGGGGAGAAAAGCCGGGUCACACCGGUGUGAUCUAUCCCAAAAAUAAGCACGGGCUAAGUUCGUGCCAGCAGCCGCGGUAAGACGAACCGUGCGAACGUUGUUCGGAAUAACUGGGCUUAAAGGGCGCGUAGGCGGGCUGACAAGUCUGGGGUGAAAUGCCGCGGCUCAACCGUGGAACUGCCUCAGAUACUGUCGGCCUCGAGGGGGGUAGGGGCGUGCGGAACUGUAGGUGGAGCGGUGAAAUGCGUUGAUAUCUACAGGAACUCCGGUGGCGAAAGCGGCGCGCUGGACCUCUUCUGACGCUGAGGCGCGAAAGCCAGGGGAGCAAACGG